GAUGUACGCUGGCGGCGUGCUUAACACAUGCAAGUCGAACGAAGCACUUUAUUUGAUUUCCUUCGGGACUGAUUAUUUUGUGACUGAGUGGCGGACGGGUGAGUAACGCGUGGGUAACCUGCCUUGUACAGGGGGAUAACAGUUGGAAACGGCUGCUAAUACCGCAUAAGCGCACGGCAUCGCAUGAUGCAGUGUGAAAAACUCCGGUGGUAUAAGAUGGACCCGCGUUGGAUUAUCUAGUUGGUGAGGUAACGGCCCACCAAGGCGACGAUCCAUAGCCGAACUGAGAGGGUGACCGGCCACAUUGGGACUGAGACACGGCCCAAACUCCUACGGGAGGCAGCAGUGGGGAAUAUUGCACAAUGGGCGAAAGCCUGAUGCAGCGACGCCGCGUGAGCGAAGAAGUAUUUCGGUAUGUAAAGCUCUAUCAGCAGGGAAGAUAAUGACGGUACCUGACUAAGAAGCACCGGCUAAAUACGUG
rnacentral:rRNA from 1 species